UACGAAGGGGGCUAGCGUUGCUCGGAAUCACUGGGCGUAAAGCGCACGUAGGCGGAUUGUUAAGUCGGGGGUGAAAUCCUGGAGCUCAACUCCAGAACUGCCUUCGAUACUGGCGAUCUUGAGUCCGGGAGAGGUGAGUGGAACUCCGAGUGUAGAGGUGAAAUUCGUAGAUAUUCGGAAGAACACCAGUGGCGAAGGCGGCUCACUGGCCCGGUACUGACGCUGAGGUGCGAAGGCGUGGGGAGCAAACAGGG
rnacentral:rRNA from 1 species